ACUGCAAUUGCUGGAUCAGGAGAUGUGUUUAACUUUAUAAGAAACUGCCAAACUUUUUGUCAAAGUGGUUAUAUCAUUUUAUACUUCCAUCAGCAAU
rnacentral:pre_miRNA from 1 species